CAAAUUAAUUGAAAACAUAUUUCUUAUCUGUAAAUAAAGCAUAUCUUUUAUAUUACUUACUUAAACAAAUAAAUUCGUUUUUUAAGUACUUACCUGAAGAAUUACAGGUUAUGCUUAUAUUUGUUCGUCCACUAAUAUUAAAUUUCAAAGUUAUUAUGCUCACAAUGUUUCUUGAAGUAAAGAUGUUUUGUAAAUGUUA